rnacentral:hammerhead_ribozyme from 1 species
ACCAACUGACGAGUCCCAAAUAGAACAAAACAUACGUCCUGGAU